rnacentral:rRNA from 1 species
CAGUAGCCGCGGUAAUACGAAGGGUGCAAGCGUUACUCGGAAUUACUGGGCGUAAAGCGUGCGCAGGCGGUUAUAUAAGACAGAUGUGAAAUCCCCGGGCUCAACCUGGGAACUGCAUUUGUGACUGUAUAGCUAGAGUACGGCAGAGGGGGAUGGAAUUCCGCGUGUAGCAGUGAAAUGCGUAGAUAUGCGGAGGAACACCGAUGGCGAAGGCAAUCCCCUGGGCCUGUACUGACGCUCAUGCACGAAAGCGUGGGGAGCAAACAGGAUUAGAUACCCCAGUAGUCCCUGUCUCUUAUAC